AAGUCGGUGAGGUAACCGUAAGGAGCCAGCCGCCUAAGGUGGGAUAGAUGAUUGGGGUGAAGUCGUAACAAGGUAGCCGUAUCGGAAGGUGCGGCUGGAUCACCUCCUUU
rnacentral:rRNA from 1 species